UAGCUUGCUAGAAGGCUGGCGAGUGGCGAACGGGUGAGUAACGCGUAGGAAUAUACCUCAAAGAGGGGGACAACGUUGGGGAAACUCAAGCCAAUACCGCAUAAGCUCCGAGGAGUGAAGCUGGGGACCGCAAGGCCUGGCGCUUUGAGAAUAGCCUGCGUCCGAUUAGCUAGUUGGUGGGUAAAGGCCUACCAAGGCGAUGAUCGGUAGCUGGUCUGAGAGGAUGAUCAGCCACACUGGGACUGAGACACGGCCCAGACUCC
rnacentral:rRNA from 1 species